UACCCGCAGCUCAAGUGGUGGUCAUUAUUAUUGGGCCUAAAGCGUCCGUAGCAGGCUUGUUAGAUGCCUGGGUAAAUCGAUGCGCUUAACGCAUCGAAUUCCGGGUAGACCGGCAAGCUCGAGACCGGGAGAGGUGUAGGCUACUCGAGGGGUAGGGGUAAAAUCCUGUAAUCCUUCGGGGAGGACCAGUGGCGAAGGCGCUACACUAGAACGGCUCUGACUGUGAGGGACGAAGCCCUGGGGCGCAAACCGG
rnacentral:rRNA from 1 species